CAAUAGCGUAUAUUAAAGUUGUUGCAGUUAAAAAGCUCGUAGUUGGAUUUCUGAUCGAGACAUCAGGUCGGGUCCGAGAGGAUCAUGUACUUUGAUUUUGUUUUGAUCAUCCUUGGGGGGAGCAUUUCUGGCAUUCAGUUGUCGGGAUUGGGAUCCUCAUCGUUUACUGUGAAAAAAUUAGAGUGUUCAAAGCAGGCCUCGGCCUCUGAAUACAUUAGCAUGGAAUAAUAAGAUAGGACUUUGGUGGUCUAUUUUGUUGGUUUGCACGCCAAAGUAAUGAUUAAUAGGGAUAGUUGGGGGUAUUCGUAUUCAAUUGUCAGAGGUGAAAUUCUUGGAUUUAUGGAAGACGAACUACUGCGAAAGCAUUUACCAAGGAUGUUUUCAUUAA
rnacentral:rRNA from 1 species